AUUUUCAAGUUACAAAUGUGAUUUUUUCAAUUGUGGAUGUCAAAACACGAAUGCAAGUCAAGAAAUAUUUGUGGAUGUCCCCAUCUACUGGAUUGCGAUUUC